rnacentral:hammerhead_ribozyme from 1 species
AUCCAUCUGAUGAGUCCCACACAGGACGAAACACACGUCGAACUGGUU